rnacentral:rRNA from 1 species
UGAGUAAUGCCUAGAGAAUCUGCCUGGUAGUGGGGGAUAACGUUCGGAAACGGACGCUAAUACCGCAUACGUCCUACGGGAGAAAGCAGGGGACCUUCGGGCCUUGCGCUAUCAGAUGAGCCUAUGUCGGAUUAGCUAGUUGGUGGGGUAAUGGCUCACCAAGGCGACGAUCCGUAACUGGUCUGAGAGGAUGAUCAGUCACACUGGAACUGAGACACGGUCCAGACUCCUACAGGAGGCAGCAGUGGGGAAUAUUGGACAAUGGGCGAAAGCCUGAUCCAGCCAUGCCGCGUGUGUGAAGAAGGUCUUCGGAUUGUAAAGCACUUUAAGUUGGGAGGAAGGGCCAUUACCUAAUACGUGAUGGUUUUGACGUUACCGACAGAAUAAGCACCGGCUAACUCUGUGCCAGCAGCCGCGGUAAUACAGAGGGUGCAAGCGUUAAUCGGAAUUACUGGGCGUAAAGCG